rnacentral:rRNA from 1 species
UGGGGAAUAUCGCACAAUGGGCGCAAGCCUGAUGCAGCGACGCCGCGUGAGGGAUGACGGCCUUCGGGUUGUAAACCUCUGUUAGCAUCGAAGAAGCGAAAGUGACGGUAGGUGCAGAGAAAGCGCCGGCUAACUACGUGCCAGCAGCCGCGGUAAUACGUAGGGCGCGAGCGUUGUCCGGAAUUAUUGGGCGUAAAGAGCUUGUAGGCGGUUGGUCGCGUCUGCUGUGAAAGGCCGGGGCUUAACUCCGGUUUUGCAGUGGGUACGGGCUAACUAGAGUGCAGUAGGGGAGACUGGAAUUCCUGGUGUAGCGGUGGAAUGCACAGAUAUCAGGAGGAACACCGAUGGCGAAGGCAGGUCUCUGGGCUGUAACUGAUGCUGAGAAGCGAAAGCAUGGGGAGCGAACAGGAUUAGAUACCCCGGUAGUCCAUGCCGUAAACGUUGGGCACUAGGUGUGGGGGACAUUCCACGUUUUCCGCGCCGUAGCUAACGCAUUAAGUGCCCCGCCUGGGGAGUACGGCCGCAAGGCUA